rnacentral:lncRNA from 1 species
UUUAUUAAUUAUUGGUUUCUAAGAGGAAAAAAUAAUAAUAAGGGAAAAAGUCAUGGAGUUAUUGUAUUGUUUCUGAAACGACCACAUAUUUUACUGACCGUCUCUAGAGCAAGUAGCAAAAGGCUUGAUGGUUGGUAUCCGAGACCCAAGUUCGAAUCCUAGUUGAUUCACAUUUCUAACUAAGUUUAUUUUUAAAUAAAAUAAACAAAACGAAUAGCGUGCUAUUUAUCUCUAAAAAAAAAAACGACUGCAUAGUUUGGCUAUUUUAGUAAGUUAACUAAA